UUAUCGGAUGAGCAGCCACACUGGAAUGAUAUGCCCGGGCUCUCAUGGGGAGCGAGCAGUGGGGAAUCUUGGACAAUGGGUAUGGCCCGAUCCAGCCAAUAUAGCGUGAGGUGAAGCGACAGGCUAUAGGCUUGUAAAGCUUGUGCAUUCUUAUGGUAUCGCGAUCAUGAAACUACUGGGAUGGGAAAAGCCCCGGCCAACUCCGUGCCAGCAGCAGCGGUAAGACGGGGGGGGCAAGUGUUCGUCGUAUUGACUUGGCGUAAGGGGCGAGUAGGCGGUGGGGAGGAUACCUAAAAGAUUUUGAAGGAGCUUACUAGCUUACUAUAUAGUAAUCAUUUGAUAGAAAGAUAAUAUCUCAGCUUGAAAGCUUAUAUAUUACUUUCUUUAGAGGGAAGCGAGGGAGCUUCAGUUAUAUGAAAGUGAUAUGAAUAGUAUAUGAGGUUCUCGCCUGCUAGGCUAGGGAGGUAUCAUGUAGCCUCAAUGGCUAGUAUACAGAGAUCAACUCAUGAUCCACUGGCGUACCGGCUUACUAUAGUAGGAUUGUAAUUUCACGUGGUAGGGUUGAAAUCCAUAGAUCGAGUAAGGAACUCUAUCAUAAGCGAAGGCAGAGCUAUGUGGCCGGAUCGUAAGCUUAUCUUGCUAGAGCAGUGGGAGCGAAAUGGAUUAGAU
rnacentral:ncRNA from 1 species